rnacentral:SRP_RNA from 1 species
CUGUGCUAGAGGGGGAGCUAGCGGUUCCCUGUUCCCGAAAUCCGCUUAUGCGGGCUCGAUGUCCCUCGAAACCGGAGACGAGCGCGGGAAGAGCACGCUGGAUGCGGGAGCCGGGCCCCGUGCACAGAGCGCCCGUGAACCCCGCCAGGCCCGGAAGGGAGCAACGGUAAGCGGUGUCGUCUCUGGUGUUGCGGCCAGCCUGGUAAACCCCUCCAGCCGUCGCGCCUGUGCUCGGGGAAGGGGGAUGAGGGAUGCACAG